rnacentral:rRNA from 1 species
AGAGUUUGAUUCUGGCUCAGGACGAACGCUGGCGGCGUGCCUAACACAUGCAAGUCGAACGGGUGUACGGGAUGGAAGGCUCCGGCCGGAAGCCCCGUGCAUGAGUGGCGGACGGGUGAGUAACGCGUGGGCAACCUGCCCUGUACAGGGGGACAACACUUAGAAAUAGGUGCUAAUACCGCAUAACGGGGGGAGCCGCAUGGCACCCCCCUGAAAACUCCGGUGGUACAGGAUGGGCCCGCGUCUGAUUAGCUAGUUGGCAGGGUAACGGCCUACCAAGGCGACGAUCAGUAGCCGGCCUGAGAGGGCGGACGGCCACACUGGGACUGAGACACGGCCCAGACUCCUACGGGAGGCAGCAGUGGGGGAUAUUGCACAAUGGGGGGAACCCUGAUGCAGCGACGCCGCGUGGGUGAAGGAGCGUUUCGGCGCGUAAAGCCCUAUCGGCAGGGAAGAAGGAGGACGGUACCUGACUAAGAAGCCCCGGCUAACUACGUGCCAGCAGCCGCGGUAAUACGUAGGGGGCAAGCGUUAUCCGGAUUUACUGGGUGUAAAGGGGGCGCAGACGGCAGCGCAAGCCAGGAGUGAAAGCCCGGGGCCCAACCCCGGGACUGCUCUUGGAACUGCGCGGCUGGAGUGCAGGAGGGGCUGGCGGAAUUCCUGGUGUAGCGGUGAAAUGCGUAGAUAUCAGGAGGAACACCGGUGGCGAAGGCGGCCUGCUGGACUGCGACUGACGUUGAGGCACGAAAGCGUGGGGAGCAAACAGGAUUAGAUACCCUGGUAGUCCACGCCGUAAACGAUGAGUAUUAGCUUUUCGGGGGUUACCCCCUUCGGGGGCGCCAGCUACGCCAUUAAGUACUCCGCCUGGGAAGUACGCUUCCAAGAGUGAAACUUAAAGGAAUUGACGGGGGCCCGCCCAAGUAGCGGAGCAAGUGGUUUAAUUUUGAAGCAACGCGAAGAACCUUACCUAAGCUUGACAUCCUUUUGGACGGAUGCCUAAUCGCAUCUUUCCCUUCGGGGACAGAAGUGACAGGUGGUGCAUGGUUGUCGUCAGCUCGUGUCGUGAGAUGUUGGGUUAAGUCCCGCAACGAGCGCAACCCUUGCCUUUAGUUGCCAGCAUUAAGUUGGGCACUCUAGAGGGACUGCCAGGGAUAACCUGGAGGAAGGUGGGGAUGACGUCAAAUCAUCAUGCCCCUUAUGCUUAGGGCUACACACGUGCUACAAUGGGUGGUACAGAGGGCAGCCAAGUCGUGAGGCGGAGCUAAUCCCUUAAAGCCAUUCUCAGUUCGGAUUGUAGGCUGAAACUCGCCUACAUGAAGCUGGAGUUACUAGUAAUCGCAGAUCAGAAUGCUGCGGUGAAUGCGUUCCCGGGUCUUGCACACACCGCCCGUCA